UUCGCCCUUAGAGUUUGAUCCUGGCUCAGAAUGAACGCUGGCGGCAUGCCUAACACAUGCAAGUCGAACGAAGGCUUCGGCCUUAGUGGCGCACGGGUGCGUAACGCGUGGGAAUCUGCCCUCAGGUUCGGAAUAACAGCGAGAAAUUGCUGCUAAUACCGGAUGAUAUCGCGAGAUCAAAGAUUUAUCGCCUGAGGAUGAGCCCGCGUAGGAUUAGCUAGUUGGUGUGGUAAAGGCGCACCAAGGCGACGAUCCUUAGCUGGUCUGAGAGGAUGAUCAGCCACACUGGGGACUGAGACACGGCCCAGACUCCUACGGGAGGCAGCAGAAGGG
rnacentral:rRNA from 1 species